ACAAUACUCAACGCAAUGGCAUCAGUGCCUUAGCAUGUUGCACAGUGCGACCUGAGAACAACUGCCAUGAGUUGGUGGGAUGUCUGGCGUACGAAUUCUGACCUCAGGCUAAAUUCCUCUCUUGAGAAGAAUUCUCAAGAACUCGAGGUUGGACGGGCCUGCUGGGAGAUUUGUUGGGCGUGGCUGUGGCCGGGCUGGACACUGCCCAGUCUGCUGUCCGCUACAGUCUGUUUCACACAGGGUUUUCUGUGGAAGAUAUGACCUCAUGGCCAACAUGAUUCACUCGAG
rnacentral:lncRNA from 1 species